AACGCAGCUGGUGCUCAUCUCCUGAUCAAGUCCCUCCAGGGAUAUAUUCCCCGUGAUACCAGCUCCGUUUGCUAGAUGAUGGUUGCUUUACGCUCCGUUUAAGGUAAUUAUUUCAAGACACUCGUGUUCUCGCUUUCCUCCCUGACAUUCUCCAGAUUCUGGCUUGAAUUCUAUUUCAGCCGUAUCCUUUGUUCCACGUUCCUCCUCGCUCCAUUUUCGUUUCUCUCUCAGUUUCAAUCCUGUCCGCGGGUGAGCUGUUAUUUAAAGUCUCACUUUUUAGUUAUAUAUCGCUGUCCAGUCUAACCCUUGGGUGCGUGUGUGUAUUAACCACCACCGAGCGCUUUCAGUUUAUCACCACCACGUUGAGCUUAACUUCAGGUGUGUUUUGUGUUGUCCCAGUUAUUUACUUGAAUUCUAAUUCGCCUCUCUUGUGUUUCUGAUUCUUCUCCAGUCCCUGCGUGUUGUUCCCGGUUUGCGUUUUGGUUCCCGACAUCCUUAGUUAUUGUUAUUUGUCUGUACAUUGUUUAUCUGACGUCUCGUCUCCUGUGCCUUAUGUCGGCCAACACUUCCUGCACUUGUUCCAUCCAUCCAGAAUCAUGACAGAAUAAACGUAAAUUAUCCAUCUAGCAAACAAAAAUGGAAGGAAUGUUCUGACAUGAUCAAAUACAUCAAAGAACUAGGGCUGGAAUAAUAUUAGAGUAUUUGGCCCAAUUCAAUAUUUUCAUGAUGGAAAUAAUGGGAAAUGCACAUCACGGUUUCCCACAGACUUAAUAUGUAUAUUAUAUAUAUUAUGCAGGUGCGCUCGCGAAAUGGCCCUGUGGAGUGAGGGCUGCCCAAUGCUUGCAUCAGCUACAUGAAUCCAGCAUCGAGUGCUUGGUAAACAUUUGACAAUUGUCAGUGUUUGAAUAUUAAAGUAUUAAAGUUGUGUUUGAUCGGCUGCUCUGUUAAGCAGGAGAUGCGCUUGAGCUCAAUCUUUACAUUGUCAUGAAAAAAUCCUAUUAUAUUUGAAAAUAGAUUUUUUUCCCCCAACGCAACUAAGAACCUAAAACUCAAAAUUUCUUCCAUUUACGCAAAGACUGCUUUCAAAAAAUUUAACUCAGGAGAACCUGUGUUUCUGUGUAAAAGAGAAGCCAAAACAAAUGGAAGAUAAUUAAAAUGGAUGACAAUGAAAUCUGUUGCCAAUUUAAAAUGAAUCUGUUAUUGGUCUCCAUUCAAAAUCAAUGCUUAAACUUCUCUUUUAAGAAAAAUAGUGAAUAAAUAAAUGUUUUUAUUUAUUACUUUAUUUUUUUACUCAGUGGGCAGUAUUGAAUUGAGUGAAUAAUGUACCACUUUCCCUGGGCUUCACAUGUUUGCAGUUUUCAAUCAAAUAAAGUCCAAACAUGGCAACACUUCUAUAUAGCACUCAUGCAGCUAUUUCUGCUGCAAGUGCACACCAGCAGGUCAAUAAAGAGCAUCUGAUCUCAGCCUUUUGGGAUGAGUAUCACCUGCGAGGAUUGGCUCUGCCGAUUAUAUAAAAGUAAUAGAGAAUGUGUUGCUCUUUAUUCCAGCUCAAUAUUUGACAAAUUCUCUCUCCUCUGUCUCCUGGUAAAACACUGCUGUAGAUUUCCUUCCCACGAUCGGAAGAUGCUAAAUUUCAAAAGCAAUUUCCUCUUUGCUGCACUGCUGAGCGCACGGUGAUAAAUCAGGUGCAGUGGCUGUCUUCGUGGAUUUCCAUUCCCCCGUCUCAUAUUUUGUCCCACUAAACAGGAUUUCUGUCACAUCUGCCUCUAUGGUCUCUCCCGACGCUGCCGCUACAUCUCAUUCCGCUCGCCCUUACAUGUUGUCUCCUCUGGUGGCUCGCCCCCCUCACCUGUCUGCUCUGCGCGAGUGAAAUAGCGGCCAACCGCCACCAGCUGCACCUCAUUCCUAUAAUCAGAGCGUGUGUACGAAUGUGUGUACUUGUAAAUAUACCACCUGAACACAGACAUUAGAUAUAUAUAUAUAUAUAUAUAUAUAUAUAUAUAUAUAUAUAUAUAUUAUAAAGACAAUGGAAGAUACUACUAUAUAAUAAUAAUGAAACAUGCAAAGCUGCUAGAACCUGUUCAAAAUUGCCCAACUUAGUACACUUAUUGAACCGUAAAGUGCAAAGACACAAAUUCUAUUUGCAAUGUGUGUCACUCGUGGUGAGCUAUGAGUCAUGACCGAAAAAACAAGAUCCCGAAUACAAGUGGCUGAAAUGAGUUUGCUCAGACAGGUGGCUGGGAUCUUCCUUGGGGACAGAGUGAGACGUUCCAUCACUCGGGACAGACUCGGAGUAGAGCUGGUAUUAUAACAGUGAAUGUGGGGUUCAUUGAAAUUGGUGGUCUUUGUGGGACAUUGGUUAGAUCACCAGAUGGAUAAUAUGAUGUUUAAACUUUCCUCUUUACGCACUGUGCACAAAAGUCGAGGACGCAGGGGUUUGUUUCAGAAAUGUGUUGGGUGUGUGGUUUUUAUUAAAGAAUGAACAAAUAGAAAAAUAAUAAAACAACAUAUUUAUAGUGAUGCAAUUAAAUAAAUACUACUACUGACAAUUUACACAUUUGGAACACUACACCAACUACCAUGUAUGUUGUAGCUAGGAUAGGACUUGGCGCUUAAUUUAACUCAGGGUUGUUGUGUCUCGUCCCGAAGCUGUAUCCAUGCUGCACUGUAGCAAACUGCCUCGCCAAUCAGCAACGGAUUUGGCAGUGUGAUUGACAGCUGGGCGCCAUGAAUAGGAAACCUUUGGACGCAGGGUUACUCUUCAAGACACACAACAAAAUCUUACAAACAAGCAAACAGAACAGUGGACAUAUUAAAAGGAUAUGCCGUGAAGUCUUCAUAACAGCCACCCCCAAAUAUGGCCUGCCAUAUUUGCCAUCAGGUGACGGGCUCACUUAUGACUCGGCUGGUAUAGCCUGACGUACUUCUUGCCCUUAAUCUCUACCUCUGCAAUGUGAAUUCGUCCUGCUCCUGAGAAGACCUUGGUGACUCUCCCAACAGGCCAGGAUGCUUGUGGUAGUUGUUGGUCGACCAUCAUAACCACAAUAUCAGUUUGCACCUCCUUAGAGUGGUUCCACCAGUUGGAUCGGGUCUGUUGCGUGGGUAGGUAGUUUCUCACAAAAUGUCUCCAAAAAUGAUCUGACAGCAUUUGACAUUGUCUCCACUGCCAAUAGCUAAGGAUGUUGGAGUCUUGGUAGACUGUUUGAGGUAGAGGUGGGUCGAACCACCCCAUGAGAAGCAUGUUGGGGGAGCAGGGUUCUGGGUCAGCCACGUCAGAAGAAACAUAACCUGAGGGUUUGGAAUUCAAGAUGUCUUCGAUUUGAAUCAGGAUCGUAUUCAGGACUUCUUCAGUGACAACCUGAGCAUUCACUGUGGCAUAUAGAGCUGACCUGAUGCACCUGAUCUCCCUCUCCCAGACUGCCCGGAAAUCAGGUGCACUAGGUGGAUUGAAAACAAACUUAAUCUGACUCUUGGCCAACUGGACUUGAAGAUCAGGGUGCAUGUUGUCAAAUAAUUCUCCUAGCUCUCUGUCACCGCCCUUAAAGUUUGUAUCCUGAUCAGAGAUGAAUUCAGCUGGCUUCCCUCUUUUAGUGAUGAGCCUGCAUGGUCCUAUUAGAAAGGCAUCUAGAUGAAGACCGUGUAACCGUUCAUUGGGAACAGCACGUGUUGUCAUGCAACAACAGCAUGCCCUUCUCUUCUCUUGUCGUUGCCCCACUUUUACCGGAAGAUGUCCAAAACAAUCCAUGCCAGUGUUGGUGAAUGCUGGCUGGUAAAGUUGUAGUCGGGAGUCUCUCAGGUAAGUCUCAGGUAAGUUUCUCCUGCACAUGAAUGCUGGUGUUUCUUGAUUGCUUGGCGCUUUCCAAGAUUCCAGUAUCUCCUUCUUAACACUACAAACAGUCUUUCCAGUAUGCUUGAGGUUGUGAUUGGCGUACCUUAUUAAAAGCUUUGUGACUGAGUGUGAUGGAUACAGGACAAUUGGAUGCACAGUAGCCAAGUCCAACUGUGGAGUAGCACGUAGUCUUCAUCAUACUCGUGUGACAGCAUGAGUAGUCGACUUGUAGCCAAGCCUUUUUUCCACAUUUAAGCUGCUUGUAUUCAUCCAGAAAACUUUCCUUUUGAGCCUGUAUCAGGAGCUCCCUCAAUGUAGUCUCCGGCAGAAGGAAUAUCUGAGGAAUUUGCAGGCUCUGAGUCUCCAUUUAAGGCCCUCCAAAUGAUCUAUCUUCCGGCAAAAGUCGGACUUGGUGGAACAUCCCUUUUGUAUCACUGCUCACUACCACUGUGUGUUCUCUGAAGUGAAGGAGAACUCCGAACAAUGUUGAGUUAAAGGAUGAGGGAUGUACCAAGUUUCUCGUCAAUAUAUCUCCUCUGGCUUUAACUUGACUAUCCUCCUUGCUUCAACUGCUGCAUUUCUGACAAGUAGGCUGCAGCCUUCUCCGGCUCUUGAACCAGGCGCCUUUCAACACUCUUCAUCUAUGGCAGCACAGCCUCUUUUGUGUGCCUGCAGCCUCUGCAUGUUUUUCACCCUGAGCAAUCUGGCUGGGCCUUGACCAGUCCAUCCCACUCUUGUGUUCACUGCUGCUGGUCCACCUCUUCGGCCUAGACAAACUAGCUCGAUGCGUGUGAUGAGGUGUCGAUAGUUUGACCCUAUCAGAAGGAGGAGAUGAACCUGGUUGAGAGACAGCAGUGGUAGUUCACUGAGGUGCUGAUACUUCUGCUGCAGUGUUUCUAUCAAACAUGUAUGUUCCGCUAAUCCCAGUUCUUCAGCUGUAAAUGCACUUCUGAUUUGGCACUGGGCUGGCUAGCUGGGGAAAUGGUAACGGAUACUUCAGAACCAUGUAGAAUCCUGACGUCUUGACGCACCAUUCUGAGAGCAAGAUCACAUGGGUCCCCUUUUAGGCCUAAUUGCUUGGCGGCUGCUUGUAAGAGGAUUGUCCCCUUAGACUCAGGAUUGCAUACGUCUCUAAGCUGCCGCCUCGAUUCCUGAGGAGCACCUUAGUGAUCUUCAGUAGCACUUGUCCACAACUGGCUCAUCGAUCCAGAUAAAGGAUCUCACUUGGUGGUGUAGCUAGAACUGCUUCUUCCGUCUCUGGUUUCUUGUUGAGGUCAUGCAAAUUCCACGUCUUCCUUUGCAGUCGUCAUAUCAGCAGCAGCCGCCAAACGGUUGAGGACCUAUGAAGUAUUUCCACUACACACUAAAAGUCAUAAAACAACUUUGGUGUGGCUCAGCUGCUGCUGCUGUUCAUUCGACAUAUUUCAUGAUAUGCCUGCUUGUUGUGCAAUGUUUCAGUGCACAUGAAUGCAACAGUUUUCCCAGCUUGUUACGUCGCGGGUUGCCAUUGGCGACCAAACAGCCAAUUAAGAACAAGCUUUCUCAGUGGGCUGUGAUUUGUUGCCUUUUUGGCACAAAUGUAAUGCUGUGCCAGAAGUUGUGCAAGCGUCAAAAGAAAACCAGAGUGCGCACACAGAUAUGAGGUUGAGUGCUUACAGAUCAUUGUUCAAGCAUGCAAAAGGUAAAGUUUAUUCAGCACAAAAGAGAUUUCUGCUUGCUGGUGGAUAUUUUAUGUUUAAACCGUCACUUAGUGUGUGCUAAACAUCUGCGUGCUCAAAAUCUCAAAACUGACUGCACGUUUUUUUUACCUAAAUAUCACGCCAUUGCCAACAAGUCAAAACCCAGAAGUGGAGAGGAAAAAUAAUAAGAAUCUUUUGCUUUUCUCAAAUUUAUUAUAGGCUCCAAAAAUACUUGACAAUAAAAUUACUCAUGAACAGAAUGACUGUACGUACAGACCAAACGCGACUUCCGCGAGCGACACGACUGAUUUGCAUAGAAAGUCAAUGGGGUUGGGCGACUGACGGCGACCAGCGGCGACCAACAUGGCAGCGACACGACUGGGGUGUGCAACGCUACAAGAUUUGAGCUACAUACGGCGACUCCGGCUACUCAAGACGACACAACUGGGGUACAGCGACAGUCGCAGAAGUUCACCACCUGCGGAGCGUUGACCAAUCAGAGACCAGAUCCGCGAGUGACGUGUCCCGGCGGAGGAGAAGCAAAUCGCUGCGGUUGUUUACAAGCAGACUUUCCGCCGUCCUGAGAGUGGCUCAAAUCGUGCAUUUUUUAAUUUCCACCGGAACAUAAAUAGGAAGAAUCUUGUCCGGAGGGAAAGUUCGCCACAACGGUGGCGUUCCUGAUGAGACGUCCUGAAGGGUCUGUUUAUAUGAGGGGAGGACGGUGACCGAGGAGCGGAGUGGUCAGCGGCAUCUACUGUAGUGCCGUGAAGUGAGCGUUCUUCACCCUCCUCUCUCUUCUGGAGCCCUUCAUCUCCAAGACAGACCUCGGCCAACAUGAUUGGAGAGGCAGCAGGAGAGGAGGAGGAUGGAUCCACUCAUGAUGUUGGUGAUGAUGAUGAGGAGGAGGAUGGACCUUCCUCCUGCCUGUAUGUAUGACACCGAUGGAAGAGACCAACAGAGGAAGGGAUCCCCUGAUGCUGAAGCUGAGCUCAAACAUCUACUCAUGUACUCCCUCCACGAACCCAGCUCAGAAGAAGGGACAGUUUUCAAGGUCCUCGUUCCUUCCAGGUUCCACAUAAAUUUAAAAUGUACAUGUUACUUUACCAAGCAAAACAACAGCUGACUGAAACCAUUUGGACCCUUCAUUUAUUUUCUUUGUAGCCACAGUUUCAUUAAAGAACCGGAUGCCGCCCCACUUCCUCCGCCUCUCUUGACCCUCUGAGGAAGAUCCUUCAAAACACACCUACGUAGUUCACUUCAAGUUUGACUGUGAUUCUGUGUGUAUUGAAUGAGUAUAAAUGAAUGGGGUUACUUUAUUUUUGCAAAUAAAGUGUUUGACAAUGAACAUUUCUUUUUGUGAAAAAUGGAUUCACAGAAAAAAAUAAAAUCAAAAGCACUUUGCAAAAUAUCAACAAAUUGAGUUGAACACAGCUUUGUUUUAUUGCAGAGAUGAAAUAUAUAUGCAAGAACCUAUGCUUUGUUAAAAUAGGUGGCUGACUCUUAAAUGUGUUGCACUGAUAACUGUUUUUUUUCCAAAAAGGAGAAGCCUCAUCUUCAACAAAAACAUAUGUGGUCGGUGGCCGUGGUCCUCUGGUCAGCUCCUGGAAGUAGACCGUCACACCAACACAGAAGCAGUUGGUGAUGAGUCUCCUGUUACCGAAGACCUGCAAAAUAUAAACCAUACAUGGAUAUGUAAACAUAUAUAUGUUGGUGAUAAUUUAACAAAGUAUAUAUCAACCAUACAACAGUGCAUCUAGGAUAAAUUGUUUCAUCACAAUGCAUUUAACUGUUGCAUUCAUUGAUUACCACAAAGUGGCGCUCACUGAAAAGACUUUAGUGUACAAAUGAUUGACGAUGACAGAUUAUAUAUCUCCGAAAAUUACUUCAAGCAUACAGCAGAUACGACCGCGGAGUUCAUGAACUGAUGACAGUUCAGAAAGACUUGGACACAAGUCGCCGUACAUAACUACACAUCGAGUUGCUUACCGAAGUCAGACGUUCGCCAGAGGACAGACCGCGGCACUUGGUGUCCUGUAUUCGGCCACUGAUCCGGACCAACAGGUCGUCCAACUCGCGGCGGUUCCGCCUGAAGUACCGCACGAAGCGGCCGUAUCCCGGUGACGCUGCUGGAGCAGGAAGUUAAAUUCACCAGUGUGAGCGGCUCUGGCGAAUGCUACGAAACGAGAGACGUCUCUUUUUCCAUGUUUUCAAUUAAUAAGUAGCGAUAGUUUGAGCACCGGCUCCGCCAUCUUCAAUCCACCGUCCACAACAACUUGAGACCACGCCCUCCGGCGACUGACCUACUUUCGAUCCGGACAGGUGGCGACUAAUGACGACUUGAGCAAGCUACCUGCUGCUGACGACUGGCGCUACAGCGACAGAAAUGUCGCGUUCGGUGUGUACGUACCUUGAGAAAAAAAUAUAAAGGAAAAUGUCUAAAGGAAAGUGUCUGUGGAAAAAUAAUGAGCAGUGAUGCGUAGUUGAGAUUUCAUGAAACAGAUUAUCAAAGGCCACCACAUGGAAAUAUCUGUUGGAAAAUGUUUGGACUUGAACAACUCGUUCAAUGAAACCUAACACCAUUUCUAAAGCAUCUAGUGGCCUCUGGAAAGUAGGGCACUGUUUUAAUAACCCUGCAAUUCUGUUUCAUGAUACCUCAUCUACCCAUCAAUGAUAUAUAGUAAACAAUAUACAAAUUGCAAUUGCGUUUUAAUUUUGAAGUCACGAAGGCCGCAUAAAAACAGACUAAGGCCAGAAUGUGGACCUUGGUGGGCAGUUUGACCAUCUCUGGUGAAACAAGAAUACGAAGCCUCUCAGUCUGCCACAGUUGGGACAGAGCAUUUCACUAGAACUGUAGUUGACCAGUGCUAGAAAGUGUAGCCGAAAUGACCUUAUCAUCAGAUGAACGUUCACCUUUUAAAAAAUAAUUUAACGGUCUACAUGGCAUCGAUCAGUUGUGAUCUGCUUACAAAAAGCUGAAAUAACAUCUUUUAAAUCAUUUGUUCAGAGUCACUUCACUUUGCAUCACUAUACCAUUGCCCAAGCUUUUAAAGUGCAUUCACUGAACUGACUGGAAGAGAUGAGGUGCAGGUUUAAUAAAGUUGUAUUAUGUUUGAAGUAAAAUGUAAAGCAGAUGUAGUAAUGAUGAGUUGUAGCACGUUAAUUGUCAUGUCUGCACUUUGUCUGUUCCUUUUUGUAUUUUUCUCUCGUGCUUUUAUUUUGUUACCCCUGGUUCUCAUUGUUUCCUGUUCCUGCUUUGGCUCCAGCUUCACUGGCAACACAGCUGUCGUUAAUCCCCUCGUCAGACUCCUCUUGGAUAUAAACCUGUCAACGUCAGUCCUGUUGGCCAGAUUGUUGCUGCUCACGUCGUCAAGGCAAAACUCUUUCAAGACUCCUGUGUGUUCGCUUUACUCCCUGACCUUUUCCACAUUUUUCCUCUGGCUGAAUUCCUAUUCUGUCGCCGCCUUUUGUUCUUCCUUGCUCCUCCUGUGUUUACUUCCCUACUCUCAAUUCAGUCCGCGUGUGAGCUGUUUAUCUAAGCCUCACUUUUUAGUUAUAGAUCCGUUAGUUUACCCCUCGUGUGUGCGAGUGUGAUUAGCCGCCGCCACCGAGCGCUCUCAGUUUAGUGCCACCACCAGGUUGAGCUUAACUCUGGCCGUGUGUUUUCUGUUCUCCCAUUUAUAUAGUAGAGUGUUGAUUCUAAUCCGCCUCUCUUGUUUUCCAGAUUCACCCCGUUCCCUGUGUGUUGUUCCCGGUCCGCGUUUUGGUUCCCGGCGUCCUUAGUUUCCAGUUAUUUGUCUGUAUUUAUUUGUGCGUUCCAACGAAUAAAUCUUUAUAACUUAACCUCGUCUCCCGUGCCUUCUGCCGACCAACAUUUCCUGCAAUUGGGUCCAUCAUCCAGAACUAUGACACUGAUAUCUUUUUUUGUGACAGUCCUAUUGAAGUAAGUGCUGCUU